rnacentral:sRNA from 1 species
UUUAAGAAAUAAACCAAUCACCAAUUCCAAAUUGGAAGCAAGAAGUGACAAGAGUCCAGAUUUGGCACCUACUCCUGCCCCACAGAGCACACCACGAAACACUGUCUCUCAGUCAAUUUCUGGGGACCCUGAGAUAGACAAAAAAAUCAAGAACCUAAAGAAGAAACUGAAAGCAAUCGAACAACUGAAAGAACAAGCAGCAACUGGAAAACAGCUAGAAAAAAAUCAGUUGGAGAAAAUUCAGAAAGAAACAGCCCUUCUCCAGGAGCUGGAAGAUUUGGAAUUGG